UUUUAUUUCUAUUUAUAUCACCUCAAGUUUCACAUGUCACAUACGAUGAUACCUGAGCUUAUAUUUUCACUUCCGAACUACAAUAUUGUGAAAAUUCAGUACAAGACACCGCCAAGGGUGGUAAUGCUAUCGGGUGCACUAUAGGACCAAGGGUAGAUACCAUAUGUAGAUGGCAAGUUAAAAGCCAACAGUGCUUGAGCUUGAGCCAGAUUCCGGUCAAUGUAGAGAUUGCCAAACUGCUGGAGGUGUAGCUGGUGCGCUAUGGCCUGGACAACGUUAAUGUCCUGGUAGUGAGAUUGUUGCGCCACCAGCCUGAGCUGUUGCAAGACUUGGUUGUUUCUCAGUUGAAACGCAGCUGAUUGCAAGAAGGUGCUUGCCGCAAUGCUAUACUGCUGCCUUACGAACUCAUUAUAUGGGCUAAGCACCUGUUGCUGUAGCAGGAGAGGCGACUGCACCUGAUAUUGCCUAAUAUUUUGACCUAAAACAUCAAACUGCGCAGUGGCGCUGCAUGCAGCAAUAGCAAGGAGAGCAAAGACGAAAAUGAUCUUCAUUGUUGCAGGACACUAGUUCUUUUAAAUUUUUGUUGUAUAAUGCUUGAAUUGUGCGAGCGAUGAGGAGGGUUUUCAUGGAGUUUGUCCAUUUAUAGAUGCGCUGGCACGGAUUUUCUUUCGAUUCCUCAUCGGUUGCUUUAGUGUGUUAGUUUUGCUUGGAUGUCCUAUUAGGAUCUAGGUGAGUCAUGUCAUUUGGAUGUAUGUUCUAUUAGGUGCCCCAACAAAUCCGCUUUGGUGUCAUCAUGAAAGUAACUUUUCUGUCCAUCAUGAUGGUUAGCAGGCAAGAAAGAUAACGAUAUGACUCAUCGCUCACCUUAUGCGUUUGUUUCGUGAGGAUUGAAUCUUUUAUCUAGGGAUGUUUAUCACGUUUACUAAGCUAUUUUUUCACUACUGCAUGCCACGUUGAACUUUAAGGUCGCGCGGCCUCAUGCAUCUUGAAUUAUAAAAUUUCAACAGGAAUGACAAAAUUAUAGUACGGCAGGUGCAUUUUAUUGUUUCGUUGAUGCGGUAGUGAAGAUUUGAUUGUAGGAAGAAUUAAGUUAGCGCUGAAGCCUAAAAUCACCAUUCGAGAUAUUUACGAGAGAUCACCAAUAUAAUUUUGCUGAAACAUGAGGUUUAUUAUCCAUUUUGUUUGCAGUGAGACUAUCUACUUUCAAUGCUAGAAUAAACUACUCAAAGCAAAGAGUUUGUCAGCAAGAACAACCUCAAUGUCUUGGAGCAUUCCUUAAGUACGACAUCUCAUAAUUUUGAAUUUGGAAGAAGGGUGCAUUUUCUUUAUAGUCACUCUACAGUGACAGAAUAAACCAAAGAACAUCACAAAUCCGUCUUUCCGGUUUUCACCCCCAUUGUUGGCGCUGCAUGUUUUGCUUCUGUACAGAAAUAAUUAUGCCUACGUUGUUGUUCCAUGAUGCAAAUUGAGCGAGAGCUCAACUCAAGAAUUUAUUAUACACUUCCUUUUGUCAAGAAUGUUGGACAACUAGAUGAUUUUCAAUUGAAAUUAAUAUCUAUAUAUGAAACUAGUUAAUGUACCAAAGUUUAAAAUUUUGAAAACCCGUCUUGAUGUCGCUUGACACAACAUAGUUGCAUUAAGUUACGUGUUUGCAUGACAUUGGCUUGUCAUAUUCACAAUGAUGUUGCAUAUGCGGCCUUUGAUAUACGCUUGUUUUAGUAGUGGAUGGAGAAUCAAAGUUGAUUGCUGCAUCUUUACGUGGUCUGUAUGGUAUACGAUUUUGUUGUGGUGGAUUUAGUAUUUGUCAUAUGUUUUUUGUGUUUGUUCUUAUUGGAAUAAAAUGAUGGACAUCCUUUAUACACUCCAUUUAUAUCUAAAAUACGAAGUAGCUUCGAAUCAAAUUUAAGCGCACAGAAAAAUUGUGGAGUACCAAUCAUGGUAAUUAGCUACGACAAUGCACUAGGAUAUAUCCUUAUAGAGGCAAGCUAUUUAAAUAUGAAAGAUAAUUUUAUUUCUAUUUAUAUCACCUUAAGUUUCACAUGUCACAUACGAUGAUACCUGAGCUUAUAUUUUCACUUCCGAACUACAAUAUUGUGAAAAUUCAGUACAAGACACCGCCAAGGGUGGUAAUACUACCCGGUGCACUAUAGUACCUAGGGUAGAUACCAUAUGUAGAUGGCAAGUUAAAAGCCAACAGUGCUUGCGCUUGAGCCAGAUUCCGGUCAAUGUAGAGAUCGCCAAACUGCUGGAGGUGUAGCUGCUGCGCUAUGGCCUGGACAACGUUAAUGUCCUGGUAGUGAGAUUGUUGCGCCACCAGCCUGAGCUGUUGCAAGACUUGGUUGUUUCUCAGUUGAAACACAGCUGAUUGCAAGAAGGGGCUUGCCGCAAUGCUAUACUGCUGCCUUACGAACUCAUUAUAUAGGCUAAGCACCUGUUGCUGUAGCAGGAGAGGCGACUGCACCUGAUAUUGCCUAAUAUUUUGACCUAAAACAUCAAACUGCGCUGUGGCGCUGCAUGCAGCAAUAGCAAGGAGAGCAAAGACGAAAAUGAUCUUCAUUGUUGCAGGACACUAGUUCUUUUAAAUUUUUGUUGUAUAAUGCUUGAAUUGUGCGAGCGAUGAGGAGGGUUUUCAUGGAGUUUGUCCAUUUAUAGAUGCGCUGGCACGGAUUUUCUUUCGAUUCCUCAUCGGUUGCUUUAGUGUGUUAGUUUUGCUUGGAUGUCCUAUUAGGAUCUAAGUGAGUCAUGUCAUUUGGUUGUAUGUUCUAUUAGGUGCCCCAACAAAUCCGCUUUGGUGUCAUCAUGAAAGUAACUUUUCUGUCCAUCAUGAUGGUUAGCAGGCAAGAAAGAUAACGAUAUGACUCAUCGCUCACCUUAUGCGUUUGUUUCGUGAGGAUUGAAUCUGUUAUCUAGGUAUGUUUAUCAUGUUUACCAAGCUAUUAUUUCACUACUGCAUGCCACGUUGAACUUUAAGGUCGUGCGGCCUCAUGCAUCUUGAAUUAUAAAAUUUCAACAGGAAUGACAAAAUUAUAGUACGGCAGGUGCAUUGUAUUGUUUCUUUGAUGUGGUAAUGAAGAUUUGAUUGUAGGAAGAAUUAAGUUAGCACUGAAGUCUAAUAUCACCAUUCGAGAUAUUUACGAGAGAUCACCAUUAUAAUUUUGCUGAAACAUGAGGUUUAUUAUCCAUUUUGUUUACAGUGAGACUAUCUACUUUCAAUGCUAGAAUAAACUACUCAAAGCAACGAGUUUGUCAGCAAGAACAACCUCAAUGUCUUGGAGCAUUCCUUAAGUACGACAUCACAUAAUUUUGAAUUUGGAAGAAGGGUGUAUUUUCUUUAUAGUCACUCUACAGUGACAGAAUAAACCAAAAGAACAUCACAAAUCUGUCUUUUCGGUUUUCACCCCCAUUGUUGCCGCUGCAUGUUUUGCUUCUGUACAGAAAUAAUUAUGCCUACGUUGUUGUUCCAUGAUGCAAAUUGAGCGAGAGCUCAACUCAAGAAUUUAUUAUACACUUCCUUUUGUCAAGAAUGAUGGACAACUAGAUGAUUUUCAAUUCAAAUUAAUAUCUAUAUAUGAAACUUGUUAAUGUACCAAUGUUUAAAAUUUUGAAAACCCGUUUUGAUGUCGCUUGAAACAACAUAGUUGCAUGAAGUGAUGUGUUUGCAUGACAUUGGCUUGUCAUAUUCACAAUGAUGCUGCAUAUGCGGCCUUUGAUAUACGCUUGUUUUAGUAGUGGGACUAAAUUCAAUGGGACUAAAUUCUUUUAUUCCCUUCUAUAUUAAAUAAUCAAGAUGAGGCAGCAGUGCAAAAUUGAGCCGAAUUUUAGGAAAAUAGGGUUCACCAAGUCGAGUUCACACCGCGUUUCUCUUGCGCAAACUCCACUUGCUGGGGGGCAUUUGUUUGACGGUAUUUUGUGAUCUUAUAAAUCCAAGGAUUAUUUGUAUUAUCAAGACAAGCAAACAAAAGAGCAGCUAUGAUCGUCGCAUUCAUUAAUAUGUGACUCUGUAUAUAGCUUGCUCAAUUGCAUGGGAUGCAUGAGCCAUGCACGUACUGGCAUAUGUAUGUCCUCCUAUAUGGCUAUACAUGGGUACAUGUGUUCAGCCAUAUAUACAUGCUUAGCUAAUCUAUACGUAAGCAUGCAUGCACAAGGAGACCUAAGUGACAUGUGAGCAGCUCAUAAACGAGCGCUCGUGACUAUAUAUGUAUUCACCGUACGUGCAUGUAUACGUACAGAAAUACCGGGUGGUUUCUAUGAGUUAAGAAGCAACAUCUAGCUACACGGUUGAAAUGUGAAGCUGCACGUGGGCCGGCAGCCCAUAGACACAUUGCGUUUUCAUCGUAUAUAUGCGAUUGUAUCAGAAUACAUGCGUACGCGGGAUUUCUCAACUGCAAGCUACUGAUGUGCGCGGCUAGCGCCGGAUAAACCCAACCAACAAACUUCGUCUUAUCCAGGUGAUUCGAAUUAGCGUGAUCUGCAGCAACGUCGCCCGGAGGUAUCGGAACAAACACGUGCAGCCACGUCGGCGCCGGAGUAUGCGCGCCCGUCCGUUAGGUUUUCCCAGCGCUUAUAAAAGCCAACGAGAGCUAACCAGCCAGGGCAUGGAGAAUCAUUCAUAAAACACACAUCCAUCCAUCCACACAUAUGUAGAACAAGAACACAAAGCAGAAGGGCACGCCAACGCGUGCGCUGACGGCCGGCGGCAGCCAACAGGCGCUCUGCCAAGAGACGGCGCCAGGCGAUCGACAUUCGUCCAGCCAUCCCUCUGCCCGGUGAGAAGACACGGCGCGCCAGCCGGCGGCUGUGGGCAGAAUGAGGAGGAGAGAAGCAGUACACGGACAUGGUCUCAUCUACACCAGCACACCGGCGGCGAGUACAGCUCCGUCCUUUUCUUUGUUUCUCUUUCGUUUUGCAGAUUGAUCAUGGAGGAGGAACAUGGAUGUAGAACCACAAGAAGAGAUCGAUCCAUCCACUCAUACAUAGAUCACAUGAGGGAACACACAGAGGCCUCGGCGGAAGGGUACGCCGGCGAGGGUACAGGCAGCCACCCAAUAGACGGCGCUAGGCGAUCGACAUCCAUGCAUCGAGAUCCAUCCGACUCCCAUCAAGAUUCAUCCACAGCUACUUCGCCGGAGCAGGAGAGCACGCCGCCGGUAGCGCUCGGCGCCGGUGUCCAGCAGAAGGACGUUGGAGGAAGGAGAGCAACCUGAACUUGGCCAAUCAACAAGCACGAGAAUUAGAUCAAUGGCUGCCCAAGGUAAAGGCUAACCAAAUAUCGUUCCUUUCCUGUUUUAUCUGCAGCACACAUGCAUGCAUGAGGAUAUUUCUACACACGGCGGGUCAGUGCGUGGUGCAUCGUCGUCGCUAGAGUUGUUGAGCCGACCCAUCUAUGGGCGCCACCUAUAAGCUUCGUCACGUCGGAGUUGAUGACAUGCCGUUCGUCCGCGAUACCUUCGCCUUCAUCACACGGCAGUCGCAGACGCCGUCGAGCCACCCACGUCCACAACUAGGCUGCUGCCUCACCAGAAAUGCUGUUUCGGGCACUAUUCACGCCAUCCCGCGAAGAUCGCGAGAGCUGCCAUGGGCGUUUGCCAAGGCGCUGCCGGCCGAGCGGUGGUCAUCCUCGCCAACUGAUCACCACCUGCCGAAGAUGGUCAUCCCCACGUCGCACUGAUGGAGCGUUGGGAAUAGUCGGAGCAGCCGCGGGCAUCAUCAAGCCAUCCCUAAUCCGCCAGGAGGUCUUGUCAGAUCCAAGGCGAAUGCCAUCAUGCUGCCCGCAUCCAUGAAUGUCGCCGAGUCGCCGAGGCGCUGCCAAGCAGUGCUUGUACCCGCCAAUCGAUCAUCUAUCGGGGAAAGCCGUCGUCCUCUCGCCGCCCUGCCGGAGCGCGCCGAAGAUUGCCGGAGCCACCGCCGAUUGCCAUGAUUUCUCCUGCUUCUAUGUCGGAGGUCAAGCAUCAUGCAUGGCGUCGACAACUAUGGCUGCAGCAACUGAGAGUGAGGGCGACAGCGACAGGAUGACGACGAACCGAUGCUGUUGAACGCCAUGGCAACAAGCUAGCAAAUGCACGCUAAUUAAGCUAAUUAUUGUGGCAACGUGGCCGACCAACUGGAGGGUGACACAUCAUCACCAUGCUUCAGUGCUAUGCACAAGAAGAAGUCGUCAACGCGAUGGCUAAACAAAUCCUGUUGAUUUCAAGCUUUCUCAAUUAGAUACCGAGCUGUGAUUAAAUCCGGCUGCCGUCUAUAUCGUCCAACUCGUCGGCGACACUCUAACGCUCGCCAUCCCUGCUCAAGCUACCGGUGAUGCCGUCUACCGGAUGCCGCCACGUCGUCGAGAUACACCAACGCCCCCAUCUCGCCAACUGCGGCUUCUCUUCCGUAAUGUGCGCCGUACCCUCGCCGGCGAUCGUCGGAGCAGCCACUAGUGUCGCCCGAGCUGUUUCUGAUCCAGGAGAUGGUGGCAGUCGCCGGGAUGCUCCUCGAGGAGCCGUCGACACAUGCCACCCUGCUGGGACACACUGAAGGUCCCCAGAGCAGCCGCGGACACCGUCGAGGUGCUCGUACACCGUCGUCAAGUCCAGCUGUGAUUCUUUCACUUCAUCACGGCGGAGUUGUCAUGUCGACUGAUCUGUUGGCGCUGAUCGCAAGCCUCCGUCAAGAUCGAUGCCACUCGUCCUCAGGACUGAUGCAAUCUGUUCGAGCUGCGGUGAUGAUUCUACUCGUUGCGAUCUCGCCGAGACGUUAAACGUCGUCGCCUUUUGCCGACCGCUGCCUCGCAACACCGUCAAUAUCUACCCACCCUCGCCACCGUUGCAAUCUUGGUGCCCACAAGCCGUCGUCAAGUCUGGCUGUGCUUCCUUCUCUUCAUCAGGCCGAGGUCGUCGUGCUGUCUGUCCACGAUGCCUUCUCUUUGUCACGUCGGAGCGUCAAAGUUCAGUGCCCCUACAUCAUCGUUGAGCCGUUCGUGAUGCCGUCUGGCCAUCCCUUCGUCACGUCGGAGCGCCACUGCUUGGUUCCCGUGCAUCGUCAUCAAGCUGAGGUCGUCGUUUCGUCCAUCCACAAUGUCUUUCUCUCCGCCGCGCCAAGGCUACGAGAUGCCAUCCGGCCGCGAUGCCCUUCACCUCGUCAAGUUGGAGUCGUCGUUCUGUCAUCACGCCAAGAUGAGAUACCGCCUGUCCGUGAUGCUCUCCCUCUUCGUGGAGAUUAAUGGUGUCGCACAUCCGCGUAUUGGAGCAUCGCUCAUCUACGUCAACCUGAAGAAAGAAUGGUGUCAUCUGUGAUGCCAGGAAACCAUUCGUGCUGAAUCUACUCCAACAAAUGCCCUUAGCCGUUCCGCCGACGAGGCAUUUACUUCUUCCAAGGUCGCUGUCAUUACCGGCGCCCUCAUAGAGCCCCUUUUACGGGCUCGUUAUCAUAUCAACUGGAUCAAUAGUAGAUCCAUCAUCUGAAGGAGGUGCUAAGCCAUGUUUGUCCGGCUGUCGUCUACACUGAUUUCUUCAUCAUCUUCAUUACAAGUCCCUGUUGUAUAAAGGGCAUGACAAGUUGGGAGGUGCCUAACCAUGUGUAAUUCGGCUGUCGUCUACACCAACUAUCUUCGUCAACUCUUCAUUACUUUGAUCUCAUCUAGCCAGAAGGUGCCCAACCAUGUAUAUUCGGCUAUUGUGUACACCAACUGACUUCACCAGCUCCUCUUCCCUUUAACACCAUUCUGAUGCCGUUGCUAUGACUUCUCUACCGUCCAAGCUACGCGAGUUCCAUGCAUGCUGAAGAUCACUAUAUCUACACCACCACGUCACUCAAGACAGAUGAGGCGGAGCGACGAGGGCAGGCGGAGUAUAAAUAAAGGCUAUGUCUCCAACACCGGCGCACGGACCGACGAGGCCGUGGAUCGCUGUCGGCGCCCACACACACAUCCACCAUCUUCACCAACAUUCAUCAUGCAUGGAGAACGUAAAGCGAAGACGACGAGACGACCACAAGCAGCUUAAUCGGAGGUUCUCCUGUAGGCCUAUACCUACAGGUAAUUAACUGGGAGCUUCUUGAGGCCCUAGGAACCAGAAGACCACAUCGCUGAUGUCAGAUCUGUCCAACGACAGGCAAAGGCACGCACAUUUUAUAUUAUACAUAGAAACUGUAUCUUGUUAAUUCAAUUAAUAAAGAUCACGUUUUUGUGUCUCUUUUGUGUUUGAUUUACAUUUUGUAUCUAGGUACACUGGCACGCCCGCACUAAUUUUCUUUCUAAACAUAGAGGGAUAUAUAUUCGUAUUUUUUCUAUCCUAAACAAUCACCAUUCGAGAUAUUUACGAGAGAUCACCAUUAUAAUUUUGCUGAAACAUGAGGUUUAUUAUCCAUUUGGUUUACAGUGAGACUAUCUACUUUCAAUGCUAGAAUAAACUACUCAAAGCAACGAGUUUGUCAACAAGAACAACCUCAAUGUCUUGGAGCAUUCCUUAAGUACGACAUCUCAUAAUUUUUAAUUUGGAAGAAGCGUGCAUUUUCUUUAUAGUCACUCUACAGUGACUGAAUAAACUAAAGAACAUCACAAAUCCGUCUUUCCUAUUUUUACCCCUAUUGUUGCCGCUGCAUGUUUUGCUUCUGUACAGAAAUAAUUAUGCCUACGUUGUUGUUCCAUGAUGCAAAUUGAGCGAGAGCUCAACUCAAGAAUUUAUUAUACACUUCCUUUUGUCAAGAAUGAUGGACAACUAGAUGAUUUUCAAUUGAAAUUAAUAUCUAUAUAUGAAACUAGUUAAUGUACCAAAGUUUAAAAUUUUGAAAACCCGUCUUGAUGUCGCUUGACACAACAUAGUUGCAUGAAGUUACGUGUUUGCAUGACAUUGGCUUGUCAUAUUCACAAUGAUGCUGCAUAUGCGGCCUUUGAUAUACGCUUGUUUUAGUAGUGGAUGGAGAAUCAAAGUUGAUUGCUGCAUCUUUACGUGGUCUGUAUGGUAUACGAUUUUGUUGUGGUGGAUUUAGUAUUUGUCAUAUGUUUUUUGUGUUUGUUCUUAUUGGAAUAAAAUGAUGGACAUCCUUUAUACACUCCAUUUAUAUCUAAAAUACAAAGUAGCUUCGAAUCAAAUUUAAGCGCACAGAAAAAUUGUGGAGUACCAAUCAUGGUAAUUAGCUACGACAAUGCACUAGGAUAUAUCCUUAUAGAGGCAAGCUAUUUAAAUAUGAAAGAUAAUUUUAUUUCUAUUUAUAUCACCUUAAGUUUCACAUGUCACAUACGAUGAUACCUGAGCUUAUAUUUUCACUUCCGAACUACAAUAUUGUGAAAAUUCAGUACAAGACACCGCCAAGGGUGGUAAUGCUACCGGGUGCACUAUAGUACCUAGGGUAGAUACCAUAUGUAGAUGGCAAGUUAAAAGCCAACAGUGCUUGAGCUUGAGCCAGAUUCCGGUCAAUGUAGAGAUCGCCAAACUGCUGUAGGUGUAGCUGCUGCGCUAUGGCCUGGACAACGUUAAUGUCCUGGUAGUGAGAUUGUUGCGCCACCAGCCUGAGCUGUUGCAAGACUUGGUUGUUUCUCACUUGAAACACAGCUGAUUGCAAGAAGGGGCUUGCCGCAAUGCUAUACUGCUGCCUUACGAACUCAUUAUAUAGGCUAAGCACCUGUUGCUGUAGCAGGAGAGGCGACUGCACCUGAUAUUGCCUAAUAUUUUGACCUAAAACAUCAAACUGCGCAGUGGCGCUGCAUGCAGCAAUAGCAAGGAGAGCAAAGACGAAAAUGAUCUUCAUUGUUGCAGGACACUAGUUCUUUUAAAUUUUUGUUGUAUAAUGCUUGAAUUGUGCGAGCGAUAAGGAGGGUUUUCAUGGAG
rnacentral:lncRNA from 1 species